rnacentral:rRNA from 1 species
CCUACGGGAGGCAGCAGUGAGGAAUAUUGGUCAAUGGGCGGGAGCCUGAACCAGCCAAGUCGCGUGAGGGAAGACGGUCCUACGGAUUGUAAACCUCUUUUGCCGGGGAGCAACGGGGUCCUUGCGAGGGCCCGAUGAGAGUACCCGGAGAAAAAGCAUCGGCUAACUCCGUGCCAGCAGCCGCGGUAAUACGGAGGAUGCGAGCGUUAUCCGGAUUUAUUGGGUUUAAAGGGUGCGUAGGCGGGCUGUUAAGUCAGCGGUCAAAUGUCGGGGCUCAACCCCGGCCUGCCGUUGAAACUGGCGGCCUCGAGUGGGCGAGAAGUAUGCGGAAUGCGUGGUGUAGCGGUGAAAUGCAUAGAUAUGACGAAGAACCCCGAUUGCGAAGGCAGCUUGCUGCAGCGGAACUGACGCUGAUGCUCGAAAGCGCGGGUAUCGAACAGGAUUAGAUACCCGAGUAGUC